rnacentral:rRNA from 1 species
UGAAUACGAGGUGCUACGGCGUCGAAGCAGUGUAUGUCAGACUUCCAAGAAAAGCUCGCAAUGUCAUAAAUAAAGAAUGCCUGUACCAUAACCGACACAGGUGGGUAGGUAGAGUAUACUAAGGGGCGCGAGAUAACUCUCUCUAAGGACCUCGGCAAAAUAACUCCGUAACUUCGGGAGAAGGAGUGCCUUCUUUAAGAAGGUUGCAAUAACAAGAUCCAAGCAACUGUUUAUCAAAAACACAGGUCUCCGCUAAGUCGUAAGACGAUGUAUGGGGGCUGACGCCUGCCCAGUGCCAGAAGGUUAAAGAAGUUGGUUAGCUUUUGCGAAGCUGAUGACUGAAGCCCUGGUGAACGGCGGCCGUAACUAUAACGGUCCUAAGGUAGCGAAAUUCCUUGUCGGGUAAGUUCCGACCCGCACGAAAGGCGUAAUGAUUUGGAUACUGUCUCGGAGAGGGACUCGGUGAAAUAGACUUGUCUGUGAAGAUGCGGACUACCUGCACCAGGACAGAAAGACCCUAUGAAGCUUUACUGUAACUUGAAAUUGAAAUUGGACUUUAUUUGCGCAGUAUAGGUGGAAGGCGUUGAAAGUAAUCUUGCGGGAUUAGUGGAGCCAUCAGUGAGAUACCACUCCUAUAUGUUAGAUUUCUACUUUGGAUCAUGAUCUGGUCAAAGAACAGUUUCAGGCGGGCAGUUUGACUGGGGCGGUCGCCUCCCAAAUGGUAACGGAGGCGUACAAAGGUUUCCUCUGAACGGGUAGAAAUCGUAUCUAGAGUGUAAAGGCAUAAGGAAGCUUGACUGUGAGACCUACAAGUCGAGCAGGGACGAAAGUCGGUCUUAGUGAUCUGACGGUGCUGAGUGGAAAGGCCGUCACUCAACGGAUAAAAGUUACUCUAGGAUAACAGGCUGAUCUCCCCCAAGAGUUCACAUCGACGGGGAGGUUUGGCACCUCGAUGUCGGCUCAUCGCAUCCUGGGGCGGUAGUACGUCCCAAGGGUUGGGCUGUUCGCCCAUGAAAGCGGUACGCGAGCUGGGUUCAGAACGUCGUGAGACAGUUCGGUCCAUAUCCGGUGUAGGCGUUAGAAUAUUGAGAGGAGCCUUCUUUAGUACGAGAGGACCGAGAAGGACAUACCUCUGGUGUACCAGUUAUCGUGCCAACGGUAAACGCUGGUAGCUAUGUAUGGAGAGGAUAACCGCUGAAAGCAUCUAAGUGGGAAGCCCACCUCAAGAUGAGUAUUCUCAUCAAAAAAA